GCCAAUUUUAGUCAAAGAUCUGGUAAAAGGACUCCACACCCCAUCGAUCUUAGUUGAGAGAAUUUGCAGGCUCAAAGUUGAAAGUUGAAAUCCCUAAUCUCCAAUUCCCAUCCUCCCCAAUAAAGGUUCAUAUCUUCCGUCAGAUCCAGGCCUCGUCUCAAAUUCAAGUUCAAAGCCCAAGUCUCAGAAGCAGCUGUCUGGCAAAGUUGAAGUUGUGCGUGGCACAAGCAUCAAUCAAAGACGGAAAGCAAUUACUUUUUUGAUUCCACAAAGCAGGCUUUUCGUUUCAUUUUUUACCAUUCAAUUCAGACUUCUUGGUCACAUUUCAGCUUGAUGAAAUCAGCACCCACAUGAUUGGUACAGUAAAGUAAUUGAUUUCCCAGGUUUCACAAUUACAUGUUUCCAGGGAACUAUUGAUAACAGAUGAGCUAGAUUGUUGAAAUUCAAGGUCUAGCAGGUUGAUCAAAAUGACUGGUGUAGUGCUAUUUUAUAUAAAUCAAGAAAUCAAGCACAGAUUACUGAUGUUACAUCCAAUAAUUACAUUUUUCUUUAUUGGAGGAUGUCUGAAAGCCAAGAUUGGGAAGCUAUUGCUUGCUGUUGUCGGGGAGCUCUUAUUGUUUGCAGUUUGGGUUCUGGCACCUCUGCGUUUGAACUAAUGGUGGUUUGUGCUCAUUUGAGGAAGAGCUUGAUGCUGGGAUCAUCAACACUAGAGCAUUCUGUUGUCCGAGGAGAAGAAAAUCCUUAAAGAGAUCAAACAACUUGAAAACACAGUGGGAAAGUCAUUGCUAUUGCUGCUGUACAAGCCAAGAUUCUGCAUUCAGUGGUUCAUAUAGAAAAAGAGGCCCUUCAAGACCAUGUUAAACAUAUAGGUGGUGAUUCGGAUGCAGUAAGGAAAGAGCAACGACCAGUCAGGUCCAAAAUUCAGCAACUUGAUUAUGUGAUUAAGCUGGCGAUAUGCAAAUUCAUCAGUACGAGAUGAGCUGAAGAUUGUAACUGAUAAGAGGGAUCAAGCGCAGCAGAGCAUUUUUUACAUUUAGGCAGCAGCUUGAUCAGCAAGUAAGUGAGCAUGAAUUCCAAAAUCAUAAUCUGUUUGGAAAAUCUUAUAAGAGUUGUAUACAUGAUAAUGGUGCCUGUAAAUAUAUUCUUCAAUCAUGCCUUUCUGAAUAAUAUUCAGACUAGGAAAAACCAUUAGUUUGAUUGAGCACAUUUAGGCCUUAGUGCUUUACAUAUAAGCAGUGCACGUCACCUGAAUUGGGUAAUGGUGCAUAGAGCUAUUACGGCUAUAAAAGAUGUUGAUGGAAUGUUUUCUUCUUUGGAUCCUGGAUCUUGAGUACUAUAAUAUUCUCAUGAAGUAAGUAGUCCACAUGUUCUUUUUA